rnacentral:rRNA from 1 species
UACGUAGGGGACCGAGCGUUUGUCCGGAUUCAUUGGGCGUAAAGAGCGUGUAGGCGGCUUGGUAGGUCCGCUGUGAAAACUCGAGGCUCAACCUCGAGAUGUCGGCGGAAACCACUUGGCUAGAGUCCGGAAGAGGAGAGUGGAAUUCCCGGUGUAGCGGUGAAAUGCGCAGAUAUCGGGAAGAACACCUAUGGCGAAGGCAGCUCUCUGGGACGGUACUGACGCUGAGACGCGGAAAGCGUGGGGAGCGAACAGG